rnacentral:rRNA from 1 species
UACGUAGGGUGCAAGCGUUGUCCGGAAUUAUUGGGCGUAAAGAGCUCGUAGGCGGUUUGUCGCGUCUGCUGUGAAAACCCGAGGCUCAACCUCGGGCCUGCAGUGGGUACGGGCAGACUAGAGUGCGGUAGGGAGAAUGGAAUUCCUGGUGUAGCGGUGGAAUGCGCAGAUAUCAGGAGGAACACCGAUGGCGAAGGCGGGUCGUCGUGGGCCAUUACUGACGCUGAGGCGCGAAAGCGUGGGAGCAAACAG